CGGCGUCCGUUUCCACAGGAAGCUCAGCUACCACAGUCUUUUGGUCUUGUCGCUUUUUGGUCUCUACAAAUGUAGGACGUUUGUCAGCGUAAGCCAUUAUUGACAGGCUACAUCAUAAUAUUCAUUUGUCCUGGACGGCUGAAUAAGUGACAGUAAUAGACCGAGGCCCAGAGGAAGAAGAUGAAGACAUGCUAUCAAGAGCAGCUGUGACACGGCAGCUGGUCUGACAGUGUGUAUGUGGUCUGAAUACACAUCUUUUCAUCUAAGGCAGGCUGGGAACCUGGGCUCACUGUUCGAGGGGAGUGAAGGCAGAAUGACCAACAUGGACGGUUAGUGUUGACACUGGCCGGUGUGAUGCCUGCUGUCCUCAUCAGACUCCUCGGUUUGAGGCUCGAAGCAGUUGUCGAAUUUCUUCCGCAGUCUUUUCUUGAGGUUCAGACCCCUCUGGAUGUUUGUGUUUGUGCACUCCUGAGCCUUUAGCUUGGCGUAAUAGUCAGAAAAUUUGUUGAACAGGAUGGAGAUUGGCAUUCCAUUUAAAAUGAUACCAAAAGAAAUGCAGCCAAAGGCCACCACUCGACCGGAGUAGGAAAUGGGCACCACGUCUCCAUAUCCCACAGUGGAAAUGCUCACCUGUAAAGGCAUAAAAAAAGACAAUGUAUAUUUAUUUACUGCAAAAUACACUCUAAAAAUGCAA
ensembl:processed_transcript